UACGGGGGGUGCAAGCGUUGCUCGGAAUCACUGGGCGUAAAGCGUCCGCAGGCGGCUUGAUAAGUCGGGUGUGAAAGCCCGGGGCUCAACCCCGGAACUGCAUUCGAAACUGUCUAGCUUGAGUACGGGAGAGGGUCGUGGAAUUCCUGGUGUAGAGGUGAAAUUCGUAGAUAUCAGGAGGAACACCGGUGGCGAAAGCGGCGACCUGGCCCGAUACUGACGCUCAUGGACGAAAGCGUGGGGAGCAAACAGG
rnacentral:rRNA from 1 species